rnacentral:rRNA from 1 species
UGGGGAAUAUUGGACAAUGGGCGAAAGCCUGAUCCAGCGACGCCGCGUGGGUGAAGAAGGCCUUCGGGUUGUAAAGCCCUUUAAGCCGGGACGAAAAAAUCGGCGAUAACAUCGCCGGUCUUGACGGUACCGGAAGAAUAAGCACCGGCUAACUCUGUGCCAGCAGCCGCGGUAAUACAGAGGGUGCAAGCGUUAAUCGGAUUUACUGGGCGUAAAGCGUGAGUAGGUGGCUCGCUAAGUCGAUUGUGAAAGCCCUGGGCUCAACCUGGGAAUUGCAGUCGAUACUGGAGAGCUAGAGUUCGGUAGAGGGUGACGGAAUUCCCGGUGUAGCGGUGAAAUGCGUAGAUAUCGGGAGGAACAUCGAUGGCGAAGGCAAUCACCUGGGCCUGAACUGACACUGAGACACGAAAGCGUGGGUAGCAAACAGGAUUAGAUACCCCCGUAGUCC